CCCAAUGUAGACAACUGCCUAGGUUGCCUUGUACCUAGGCAAGUGUUCCACUGUUGGGAGAAAAGCAGUCAAUAGCUGGCAAGCAUUCUUGGCCUGGCUAGUGCCAAAUUUGUGUUAACUAUGCCAGUAUGCCAACAUA
rnacentral:snoRNA from 1 species